CCCCCCCCGACAUAUUUUCCGUAUGCAAAGUGACCUCAAUGUGACCCAUCUCGUAAAAAUCCGGUGAUCGCAAUACGCAUGGAUGUCCUUAAAAUAAACUAUUGUCUGAAUUUACAUGUUAAACACGUGCUCAAUUUCCAUGCUUUUUUGUUGAUUUUUUGUUGAUUGUUGACAAACAGGUGACAAUCGUUAAAAUUCGGCUUCAAAACACGAACUUUAAUUACCUGUCAUAUUUUCACAACAAC
rnacentral:lncRNA from 1 species